rnacentral:tRNA from 1 species
GAGGGUAUAGCUCAGUAGGACAGCACAUGCUUAGCAGGGAUGAGGUCCUGGGUUCAAUCCCCAGUACCUCCA